rnacentral:rRNA from 1 species
UACGAAGGGGCUAGCGUUGUUCGGAAUUACUGGGCGUAAAGGGCGCGUAGGCGGCUCUGAUCGUCGGAUGUGAAAGGCCUGGGCUCAACCUGGAAUGGCAUCCGAUACGGCGGGGCUGGAGUGUGGGAGAGGUUGGGUGGAAUUCCCAGUGUAGAGGUGAAAUUCGUAGAGUAGUUGGAAGAACGACCGGUGGCGAAGGCGGCCAACUGGACCACAACUGACGCUGAGGCGCGAAAGCGUGGGUAGCAAACAGG